rnacentral:tRNA from 1 species
AUUAGAAUAGACUAAGGGGAGGUCGUCAGGAUCAUUGUUUGAAGGUAUAGGUUCGAGUCCUAUUUCUAAGG